ACAGAUGCUGAGACAGAUUUAGGAGUGUGAAAGGCUUACUGGGAUUAACACUUGUGAAAGGACAAAGGAGGAAAUUGGAUUAGGGCAGGGGAGCUGUCAGACCAUAACACGAUCUGACAAAGUCUCUGUCAGCCAGCAGGGAGCUCUGAGCAUGUGAGAAGAGGCCUGUGUCAGGCAGAACAGGACGGGACCUUGUGUCACAGUCUUGCACAGCCGCUGGAUGGGGCCAUCCGAGAAGCCCACCAUCUCAGCUCAAGUUGAGGCCAAUCGGAACCAGGUCAGGAGCGUGACCUGAGGAAGAAGACCAAGCUAAGUGCUGCUGCUGCUGCUGCUGUUGCUGCUGCUGCUGAGUCGCCUCAGUCGUGUCCGACUCUGUGAGACCCCAGAGGCGGCAGCCCACCAGGCUCCCCCGUCCCUGGGACUCUCCAGACACUGAUUUGAACUCCAAAGAGGAACAGCUGAUUCCUGAUGGUCUGUUUCCUCCUGGGUUUACUGCACAACAGGUGGUUCAAAUUGGAUAAUUUGCGGGUGCCCAGUCUUCUUCCUCCUCCAGAUGGAAGUCAUCACAGCCACCUUGCCCAGGAUGUUGGAGGCCAAGAAGCACAACC
ensembl:lncRNA